AUGGCAAAAGUCGCAGCUUCGGAAGGAUUGACGCCGAAGGCGAUGGAGGUGGGAGGCGGAGAAAGCUGUGACAAGGAGUCGAGCGAAGGAGUUCGAUUGAAGAAAGAAUUGGGACUUACGAAUGGAGUGGCAAUCAUAGUAGGGGUAAUUGUCGGGUCAGGGAUCUUCGUGUCUCCCAAUCUCGCACUCAAACAUGCCGGGUCCAAGGGUAUGGCCCUCAUCGUGUGGGUACUAUCUGGCUUCCUGUCUAUGAUCGGUGCACUCUGCUAUGCAGAAUUAGGUACAAUGAUCCCCAAAUCUGGUGGGGAUUACGCAUACAUCGGCGAAGCAUUUGGAGCUCUCCCGUCUUUCUUGUAUUUGUGGGUAGCGCUACUGAUUCUAGUUCCCACUGGAAAUGCUAUCACGGCGCUGACAUUCGCACAGAACAUCCUCAAACCUUUGUGGCCUGAAUGCGAACCGCCCAUCGAUGCAGUAAGACUUAUUGCUGCUGUUGUCACGUGUCUUCUAACAGCAAUCAACUGUUUCAACGUAAAAUGGGUGACGCGAGUACAGGAUACUUUCACGGCAGCCAAGAUGCUUGCUCUGUUAGUUACAUUCUUUGCCAGUCUUUGGUACUUAUUCUCAGGCCACACAGAGAAUCUUCAAUAUAUGAUGAAAGGAACAAACAUCAACCCUGGUAAUGUCGCUAUAGCAUUCUACACCGGCCUUUUCUCAUACUCGGGGUGGAAUUAUCUUAACUUUGUUACAGAAGAAUUGAAAGAACCGUAUAGAAACCUGCCACGAGCGAUUUGCAUAUCCAUGCCAGUGGUAACACUCGUAUAUACUCUGACGAAUGUAGCGUACUUCGCGGUACUGACCAAUGAUGAGAUCCUGUCCACCGAAGCUGUCGCCGUUACCUUCAGCAAGAAAAUCCUCGGUGUCAUGUCAUGGAUUAUGCCAUUGUUCGUCGCUUUAUGUACCUUCGGGUCUUUGAAUGGAGCUAUAUACGCCUCGUCUAGGCUUUUUUUCGUGGGGGCUAGAAACGGCCAUUUGCCCUUGGCUAUAUCUAUGAUCGACAUUCGUAGACUUACGCCUGUGCCUUCACUCAUAUUUAUGUGUUUGGUAACGCUGGUGCUCCUGUUAUCUCCGAAUAUAGAGUCGUUAAUAGUCUAUGUGACAGCUGUAGAAGCUAUGUUCACUCUGAGCUCAGUAUCUGGCCUUUUAUGGAUGCGCUACAAGCGCCCAAAAGCCUCUCGCCCUAUAAAAGUUAAUUUGGCAUUGCCACUAACAUUUCUUGUCAUUUGCACGUUCCUUGUACUCUUCUCCUGCUUCAUAAAUCCCGUAGAAGUCGGCAUCGGAAUUGCAUUUAUUGCUUUCGGUGUUCCAGUGUACUGCGUCUUUAUAAAGUGGCAAAAUAAACCUAAAUUGAUGCAAAUCCUAUGCAACUCCUUUAAUCUUUUCUGUUCGAAAAUGUUUCUUAGCCUCCCUGAGGACUCUAAAGAUUUAUGAUCACGUUUUAUUCCAUUUAUUACAUUAUUUUUGACCUAUUUAUUUAUUACUGAGCGCUGUGUUAAGCAGUUUAGUUUAAAAUAAUUAUAAGACAACAAUAUUGAUUCCUAAACUCAUAGUUUUAAGGUAUAAUAAGUUUGGAAAUAUAAUAAAUUUCGUAUAACACUUUAAGUGUAAAAUAAUUCUGUUAAUCUGCUGACUCAACCUGUAGCUCCGUUGGUAGAGCAUCGCUCCAGGUUUGGCAUCGUCACAGGUUCGAGUCCUGUCAGAUCAAGGAAGUUUCUUUGUGUUCGAUCUUUGUAUUAUUGAUAAUUAUAAUUCUUCUUAUUUGAUUUUAAAAUCGGGACUUAAUCAUGUAUAAAUAAACAUAUAUU